GCCGAUCGUCGCGAAAUUCAAAUCUGUGGACUAGGUGUUUGUUUGUUUGCUGAACAGUACGAGGUCAUGUACCAUGUGAUGCUGAAGAGGUUUCUGGGUAAAGAUGAUAGAAAUAUAAUAGUGUAACAGUGAAAGCUAAAACAUCAGACUGAUCCAGACACUGAAGAAAUUGGUGUGACUGCAAUCUGGCCAAAAUGAUACAACUAUAAUGAAGUAAUCUACUGUGAUGAAGCUGCAGAACGACACAGAAACUCUGAGGACAUCAACACAGAAUAUCAAGACUCCCAAAGAGAUGUCUGUCCAGAUGAGGGUGCAUCAACAUUACCUUUGCUGACAAGUAUAUGCUUUAGAAAUGUUUGAAUAAUUCCAGGACAGAGCUGUGCAUUUGAAUCUAGAGCCCUAUUCGACGGGAUUAGUUUUACAGGGGGACCUCUGAGAAAAUCGUGCUUCUCAGCGGUCCUCUGUGGUUUUAAUCCCGUUCGAAUCGGGCAUGUCUGUGUUUUGAUGACCUCCGUAAAAAUUCCAGAGCAAUUUACCUACUGUUUUCCGCCAAACUCAGAGGUCAUCUGAGAAAUUUAAUCCCGUCCGUAUGCAAAUGUCUGUGUUUGCCCGCAAUAUCUUUUGAAAACGCGGUUCUUGUUGUCUUUUGGCCAAAGUAAUCUGCCGUAAGGUCUACAGAGUAUAUAUAUUGUACUUCCUGAGUCCCCCCUGAGUCCCAUUCAUUCAGAUAUGGAUGUUUUUUCCCCAUUCGGCGAAAUAAAAUAAUUAAAUCAGGACGAGCUGAAUAUCAAACACUGUUAAGACUGGCCACUGUAAUAUCGUUAACUUUUGAGGUAAACUCAAACUUAUUUUGUCCAACUCCAGAAUGGAAAUGUUAAAUAAUAAAGAUAAUAAAUUGUUAUUAAUCAUUAUUUCUUCAAAUCGUUGGGUUUAUUAUAAGCAGCCAGUUAUAUAAAACAUGUAGGCUACUUUAGUAUGAUUUGUAAAAGUUAUUUUGAUUUGUUAAAAUUUUUCAAGCAAAAUAUUAAACCUUACAAACAAGCAUAUCUAGAGCACGUGCUCUUCUGCAAUGCCCAAACACAUGAAAAGGACACUCCCAUCUCUAGAAUAGCCUGAGAAUUUUAAUCCCGUUCGAAUCGGUACAUUAAAUCACAGACGUCGUGGGGGACAUGUUGAAACUCAAACGUUGUUUGGAAAACUAAUCCCAUCCGAAAAGUGCUUUGAACUGAUUUCUUAAAGUAAGAUCAAUGUAGUUGUUCAUUUUAUUUAGAUCAUUUACUACAUAACAUUGUUCUGCUUUGAAUGUAGUUUUCAUUGUUGCUUUUAUUUUGUUUAUUUUAUUUGCUCAUAUUCUA